AUCCAACGUAUGAAUCCUCGAAGCCACGGAACACAAAUUUAUCUUCCCAUUCUACCCUUCACAACCUUCUUAAAUUACCACCUUCCCUUCUCUCACUGCAUCAACAAUGGCUUCCCUUGACAUCCUCGCACUAUACCUUCUCUCUCUCCUCCUCUUAUCAAGAACCCAUCUUUCUCUCCCCCUGACGAUCACAGACAUCCAUGAACUUCUCCCUCAGUAUGGCCUGCCACGUGGCUUACUCCCAGACAAUGUAGAAUCCUACACGCUAUCACCAUCUGAUGGGACCUUUGAAGUCAAACUUAAGAACUCAUGUUAUGUUCACUUCGAUGAGGUUUGUAAUAUGGUAAAGAGAUCAAAGGGAAGUUGAGUUAUGGUUCUGUGCAUUAUGUGUCAGGGAUUCAGGCAAAGAAGCUUUCUGUUUGGUUGUCUUUUACUGGGAUUGAAGUUAGCAAGGUUGAUAGUGGUAUGAUUAAGUUCUUUGUAGGUUCUGUUUCUGAGGAGUUGGCUGCUAAGCAGUUUGAGGUUGUUCCUGCUUGUAAGAGGAAGGUUGGUGGGCUAAGGGCAGAGUUGGAGUCCAUGUGAAGGUGGAAGCAGGCCAAAUCUUCUCAUGUUUUGCCUGCUUACUUUGAAGUUCUAGAGCAUAAUCUUUGAGAAAUUUGAAGCAAAUUAAUGCAUUGAUAGAUACUCUCAACAUUUAUGAUGUGAAUGUGAUGCUUUCUAUUAUUUUUCUAUUUUCUCGUCGGGAGCUCAUCUUCUGCUAAGAAAUUAAUUGAAUUAGCAUAAUUGCAGAAACUAUUGUAGAUGAAAUAGUAGAUCAAACUAUAGGGAUUAAGCCAUUCGGGCAUGUCUUAAGUACAGGUCCAAGGCCAUAUUUUAGUUGGCAUUUAUGGACUAGCUGGUAUGUGAUACAGCCUGAGGCAUUAGUUUGUGAAAUCUUGAAGAUAAAGCUCUCGUGUGAUUUCUCA